UACGAAGGGGGCUAGCGUUGCUCGGAAUCACUGGGCGUAAAGCGCACGUAGGCGGCUUUUAAGUCAGGGCGAAUCCUGGAGCUCAACUCCAGAACUGCCUUUGAUACUGAGAAGCUUGAGUUCGGGAGAGGUGAGUGGAACUGCGAGUGUAGAGGUGAAAUUCGUAGAUAUUCGCAAGAACACCAGUGGCGAAGGCGGCUCACUGGCCCGAUACUGACGCUGAGGUGCGAAAGCGUGGGAGCGAACAGG
rnacentral:rRNA from 1 species